CUUUGAAGAGAGGCUUGGGAAAAUAUGACACAAGGCAUGGAAUUAUUAUCCCAGGAUGAAAGGGUACCAAAAAGCAAUGACAGCAAUCCAGGGACUGGUGACAAGAAGCAAGACAAAGAAAUACAGGACCAGUAAAGAAAAUUACUUGCCCAAGUUCCCUUCACUGGUGUUAAGAACAAGUGUAAGUGGUAUUUAAUAUAUCGUGCUGUUGUUGUAUUACUAAUUGUAUCAAUACCACCUACAACUAUUACUUUGGGUGAG